rnacentral:rRNA from 1 species
UACGAAGGGGGCUAGCGUUGUUCAGAUUUACUGGGCGUAAAGCGCACGUAGGCGGAUAUUUAAGUCAGGGGUGAAAUCCCGGGGCUCAACCCCGGAACUGCCUCUGAUACUGGAUAUCUCGAGUCCGGAAGAGGUGAGUGGAAUUCCGAGUGUAGAGGUGAAAUUCGUAGAUAUUCGGAGGAACACCAGUGGCGAAGGCGGCUCACUGGCCCGGUACUGACGCUGAGGUGCGAAAGCGAGGGGAGCAAACAGG